CAUAGGUUAAUGAGGCGAACCGGGGGAACUGAAACAUCUAAGUACCCCGAGGAAAAGAAAUCAACCGAGAUUCCCCCAGUAGCGGCGAGCGAACGGGGAGGAGCCCAGAGCCUGAAUCAGUGUGUGUGUUAGUGGAAGCGUCUGGAAAGGCGCGCGAUACAGGGUGACAGCCCCGUACACAAAAAUGCACAUAUUGUGAGCUCGAUGAGUAGGGCGGGACACGUGGUAUCCUGUCUGAAUAUGGGGGGACCAUCCUCCAAGGCUAAAUACUCCUGACUGACCGAUAGUGAACCAGUACCGUGAGGGAAAGGCGAAAAGAACCCCGGCGAGGGGAGUGAAAAAGAACCUGAAACCGUGUACGUACAAGCAGUGGGAGCCUCUUAAUGGGGUGACUGCGUACCUUUUGUAUAAUGGGUCAGCGACUUAUAUUCUGUAGCAAGGUUAACCGAAUAGGGGAGCCGAAGGGAAACCGAGUCUUAACUGGGCGUUAAGUUGCAGGGUAUAGACCCGAAACCCGGUGAUCUAGCCAUGGGCAGGUUGAAGGUUGGGUAACACUAACUGGAGGACCGAACCGACUAAUGUUGAAAAAUUAGCGGAUGACUUGUGGCUGGGGGUGAAAGGCCAAUCAAACCGGGAGAUAGCUGGUUCUCCCCGAAAGCUAUUUAGGUAGCGCCUCGUGAAUUCAUCUCCGGGGGUAGAGCACUGUUUCGGCAAGGGGGUCAUCCCGACUUACCAACCCGAUGCAAACUGCGAAUACCGGAGAAUGUUAUCACGGGAGACACACGGCGGGUGCUAACGUCCGUCGUGAAGAGGGAAACAACCCAGACCGCCAGCUAAGGUCCCAAAGUCAUGGUUAAGUGGGAAACGAUGUGGGAAGGCCCAGACAGCCAGGAUGUUGGCUUAGAAGCAGCCAUCAUUUAAAGAAAGCGUAAUAGCUCACUGGUCGAGUCGGCCUGCGCGGAAGAUGUAACGGGGCUAAACCAUGCACCGAAGCUGCGGCAGCGACACUAUGUGUUGUUGGGUAGGGGAGCGUUCUGUAAGCCUGUGAAGGUGGCCUGUGAGGGUUGCUGGAGGUAUCAGAAGUGCGAAUGCUGACAUAAGUAACGAUAAAGCGGGUGAAAAGCCCGCUCGCCGGAAGACCAAGGGUUCCUGUCCAACGUUAAUCGGGGCAGGGUGAGUCGACCCCUAAGGCGAGGCCGAAAGGCGUAGUCGAUGGGAAACAGGUUAAUAUUCCUGUACUUGGUGUUACUGCGAAGGGGGGACGGAGAAGGCUAUGUUGGCCGGGCGACGGUUGUCCCGGUUUAAGCGUGUAGGCUGGUUUUCCAGGCAAAUCCGGAAAAUCAAGGCUGAGGCGUGAUGACGAGGCACUACGGUGCUGAAGCGACAAAUGCCCUGCUUCCAGGAAAAGCCUCUAAGCAUCAGGUAACAUCAAAUCGUACCCCAAACCGACACAGGUGGUCAGGUAGAGAAUACCAAGGCGCUUGAGAGAACUCGGGUGAAGGAACUAGGCAAAAUGGUGCCGUAACUUCGGGAGAAGGCACGCUGAUAUGUAGGUGAAGCGACUUGCUCGUGGAGCUGAAAUCAGUCGAAGAUACCAGCUGGCUGCAACUGUUUAUUAAAAACACAGCACUGUGCAAACACGAAAGUGGACGUAUACGGUGUGACGCCUGCCCGGUGCCGGAAGGUUAAUUGAUGGGGUUAGCGGUAACGCGAAGCUCUUGAUCGAAGCCCCGGUAAACGGCGGCCGUAACUAUAACGGUCCUAAGGUAGCGAAAUUCCUUGUCGGGUAAGUUCCGACCUGCACGAAUGGCGUAAUGAUGGCCAGGCUGUCUCCACCCGAGACUCAGUGAAAUUGAACUCGCUGUGAAGAUGCAGUGUACCCGCGGCAAGACGGAAAGACCCCGUGAACCUUUACUAUAGCUUGACACUGAACAUUGAGCCUUGAUGUGUAGGAUAGGUGGGAGGCUUUGAAGUGUGGACGCCAGUCUGCAUGGAGCCGACCUUGAAAUACCACCCUUUAAUGUUUGAUGUUCUAACGUGGGCCCCUUACCGGGGUUGCGGACAGUGUCUGGUGGGUAGUUUGACUGGGGCGGUCUCCUCCUAAAGAGUAACGGAGGAGCACGAAGGUUGGCUAAUCCUGGUCGGACAUCAGGAGGUUAGUGCAAUGGCAUAAGCCAGCUUGACUGCGAGCGUGACGGCGCGAGCAGGUGCGAAAGCAGGUCAUAGUGAUCCGGUGGUUCUGAAUGGAAGGGCCAUCGCUCAACGGAUAAAAGGUACUCCGGGGAUAACAGGCUGAUACCGCCCAAGAGUUCAUAUCGACGGCGGUGUUUGGCACCUCGAUGUCGGCUCAUCACAUCCUGGGGCUGAAGUAGGUCCCAAGGGUAUGGCUGUUCGCCAUUUAAAGUGGUACGCGAGCUGGGUUUAGAACGUCGUGAGACAGUUCGGUCCCUAUCUGCCGUGGGCGCUGGAGAACUGAGGGGGGCUGCUCCUAGUACGAGAGGACCGGAGUGGACGCAUCACUGGUGUUCGGGUUGUCAUGCCAAUGGCACUGCCCGGUAGCUAAAUGCGGAAGAGAUAAGUGCUGAAAGCAUCUAAGCACGAAACUUGCCCCGAGAUGAGUUCUCCCUGACUCCUUGAGAGUCCUGAAGGAACGUUGAAGACGACGACGUUGAUAGGCCGGGUGUGUAAG
rnacentral:rRNA from 1 species